rnacentral:rRNA from 1 species
UACGUAGGUGGCAAGCCUUAUCCGGAAUUAUUGGGCGUAAAGCGCGCGCAGGCGGUUUCUUAAGUCUGAUGUGAAAGCCCACGGCUCAACCGUGGAGGGUCAUUGGAAACUGGGAAACUUGAGUGCAGAAGAGAAGAGUGGAAUUCCACGUGUAGCGGUGAAAUGCGUAGAGAUGUGGAGGAACACCAGUGGCGAAGGCGACUCUUUGGUCUGUAACUGACGCUGAGGCGCGAAAGCGUGGGGAGCAAACAGG